UCCGAUAUGGUCUAGUGGCUAGGAUUUGUCGCUCUCAUUGAAUUCACCUUCACAUGAACUAACCAUCAUAUGAAAUCAUCUUCAUAGUGCCGACAAGGCCCGGGUUCAAUUCCCGGUGUCGGAA